rnacentral:rRNA from 1 species
GACGAACGGUACGAACGUUAUUCGGAAUUACUGGGCUUAAAGGGUGCGUAGGCGGCGUGGAAAGUAGGGUGUGAAAUCCCUCGGCUCAACCGAGGAACUGCGCUCUAAACUACCGUGCUCGAGGGAGGUAGAGGUGAGCGGAACUGAGGGUGGAGCGGUGAAAUGCGUUGAUAUCCUCAGGAACACCGGUGGCGAAAGCGGCUCACUGGACCUCUUCUGACGCUGAGGCACGAAAGCUAGGGUAGCGAACGGG